rnacentral:lncRNA from 1 species
CUCGCCUCCCUCUCCCGCCGCAGCCGCAGCCGCAGCCGGCCGCUCCCCGGGGCCGCUGCCCCCGAAGGGGCUCCCUCCGGCCCUCUCCGUCCGGCUCCGGGGCUGCCUGUCCCCCUCGGGCCGCCCGGGGCUGGGGGGCAGCCGGAGGGCAGCUCCCGGGGCCGCGCUGUCCCUCCCCGAGCCCGGCCCUCGGUCGCUCCGCGGUGCAGCCUUUGCAGCUCCUCCUUAACACUUGCCGUUUGCAGGUCCACGCUUUGCUAUCCCAGGUGUAAAGACGGGCGAUGUUAACGAUAGACAUCGCCGACACCCGGCUCUGGCGCUCACAAGUAGGCGCGGGGUCUGGACGGGAUGACACUCGUGGCGUUUGGCAGGAGCCUCCUCUGUGACAGAUCUUCCCGAGCCUGUUUUACAAAUCGAUUUCUUCCAAACGACUCUCAGCAUAAAGAAGAAAAUAUGACCCAGAUAUACAGAAGGCUCUGUAAAUUGGCACUACUUGCUGUUUCCAGUUCUGGCUUGCUAAACAACUAUGCAUUUACAAGGUACUGAAGGUGGUUUGCAUAUCUGAUCAAGCUUACACAUUUCUAUUGUUAUUAACAACUUGCAAAAGAUAAGGAACUCUCGAUCCAGUAACUUACACCAUCAAAACAAAGGUCAGGACAGACACAUUCACUGUAGUUGGAGGUGUGGGUCUGAUAAGCUUCAGCUGAAAAUUCUUGGAGAGAGACCUGUCAUUUGGGAUAGUGUUUUACUAUCAUGGAGCAUCUGCAAUUGAGGAGCUCAGUAGUAACUCAUAGGAUUGUGAUGAAGACAUGGCUCUUUGCUGCAGGAGAGCAGCUGGGAGUUUGCAGUUCAUUCCUCAGUACUGAGUGGGCUGCAGCCUUUGAAAUGCUUUUGAGUGUUCAUUCAUUUCAGUUCUUAAUCCUGUUUUAAAGUUAAGAGCAUCUGCCAGUGUGGGCAAACUGUAUUUCUUGCAUGGCCACUUCUGGUCUAGGAGAUGAUGUUAAUAAGCCUUGAGAGUGGCCUGAUUACGGCAAAGAGGUGCUCCUGACAAAGCUCCCCUUCUGCAAAAUAUUCUGAAAACUUAAAUGGAUGCAAGCAAGGUCUGG